rnacentral:rRNA from 1 species
GAUGAACGCUGGCGGCGUGCUUAACACAUGCAAGUCGAACGGAAAGGCCCUGCUUGCAGGGUACUCGAGUGGCGAACGGGUGAGUAACACGUGGGUGAUCUGCCCUGUACUUUGGGAUAAGCCUGGGAAACUGGGUCUAAUACCGAAUAUGACAAUUGUUUGGAUGCGAUUGUGGAAAGCUUUUGCGGUAUGGGAUGAGCUCGCGGCCUAUCAGCUUGUUGGUGGGGUAAUGGCCUACCAAGGCGUCGACGGGUAGCCGGCCUGAGAGGGUGUACGGCCACAUUGGGACUGAGAUACGGCCCAGACUCCUACGGGAGGCAGCAGUGGGGAAUAUUGCACAAUGGGCGCAAGCCUGAUGCAGCGACGCCGCGUGGGGGAUGACGGCCUUCGGGUUGUAAACUCCUUUCGCAACCGACGAAGCCUUUUGGGGACGGUAGGUUGAGAAGAAGCACCGGCUAACUACGU